rnacentral:rRNA from 1 species
GACGGAGGGUGCAAGCGUUAUCCGGAUUCACUGGGUUUAAAGGGUACGUAGGCGGUCGAGUAAGUCAAUGGUGAAAUCUAGCAGCUUAACUGUUAACGUGCCAUUGAUACUGCUUGACUUGAGUAUAGUCGAGGUGGGCGGAAUUCUACAUGUAGCGGUGAAAUGCAUAGAUAUGUAGAGGAACACCAAUAGCGAAGGCAGCUCACUAGGCUAUUACUGACGCUGAGGUACGAAAGCGUGGGGAGCAAACAGG